AUACGGAGGGUGCAAGCGUUAUCCGGAAUCAUAGGGUUUAAAGGGUCCGUAGGCGGGCAAUUAAGUCAGAGGUGAAAUCCCACAGCUCAACUGUGGAACUGCCUUUGAUACUGGUUGUCUUGAGUUACAGUGAAGUAGAUAGAAUGUGUAGUGUAGCGGUGAAAUGCUUAGAUAUUAAACGGAAUACCGAUUGCGAAGGCAGUCUACUAACUGUAUACUGACGCUAGUGGACGAAAGCGUGGGGAGCGAACAGGAUUAGAAACCCUAGUAGUCC
rnacentral:rRNA from 1 species